rnacentral:rRNA from 1 species
CCUACGGGAGGCUGCAGUGAGGAAUAUUGGUCAAUGGACGUAAGGCUGAACCAGCCAAGUCGCGUGAAGGAAGAAGGAUCUAUGGUUUGUAAACUUCUUUUAUAGGGGAAUAAAGGUAUCCACGUGUGGCUAUUUGCAUGUAACCGAUGAAUAAGCAUCGGCUAACUCCGUGCCAGCAGCCGCGGUAAUACGGAGGAUGCGAGCGUUAUCCGGAUUUAUUGGGUUGAAAGGGUGCGUAGGUUGUUUUUUAAGUCAGCGAUGAAAGUUUGUGGCUCAACCAUAAAAGUGCCGUUGAAACUGGAAGACUUGAGUGUGUUUGAGGUAGGCGGAAUGCGUGGUGUAGCGGUGAAAUGCAUAGAUAUCACGCAGAACUCCGAUUGCGAAGGCAGCUUACUAAGCCAUAACUGACACUGAAGCACGAAAGCGUGGGGAUCAAACAGGAUUAGAUACCCGAGUAGUC